UCCUCUUCUCCCUCCUCCCAGG
rnacentral:miRNA from 1 species